rnacentral:rRNA from 1 species
UACAGAGGUCCCAAGCGUUGUUCGGAUUUAUUGGGCGUAAAGGGUGCGUAGGCGGCGGAGUAAGUUGGGUGUGAAAUCCCGGGGCUCAACCUCGGAAUUGCAUUCAAUACUGCUUCGCUAGAGUACUGGAGAGGAGGCUGGAAUUACGGGUGUAGCAGUGAAAUGCGUAGAUAUCGUAAGGAAGGCCGGUGGCGAAAGCGAGCCUCUGGACAGUUACUGACGCUGAUGCACGAAGGCCAGGGGAGCAAACGGGAC